rnacentral:rRNA from 1 species
GACGAACGCUGGCGGCGUGCUUAACACAUGCAAGUCGAGCGGUAAGGCCCUUUCGGGGGUACACGAGCGGCGAACGGGUGAGUAACACGUGGGUGACCUGCCCUUAGCUCUGGGAUAAGCCUGGGAAACUGGGUCUAAUACCGGAUAUGACUCCAUGACGCAUGUUGUGGGGUGGAAAGCCUUGUGCGGCUAGGGAUGGGCCCGCGGCCUAUCAGCUUGUUGGUGGGGUGAUGGCCACCAAGGCGACGACGGGUAGCCGGCCUGAGAGGGCGACCGGCCACACUGGGACUGAGACACGGCCCAGACUCCUACGGGAGGCAGCAGUGGGGAAUCUUGCGCAAUGGGCGAAAGCCUGACGCAGCGACGCCGCGUGAGGGAUGACGGCC